GCUGGGCAUGGUGGCGCGUGCCUGUAAUCCCAGUUACUCGGGAGGCUGAGGCGGGAGAAUUGCUUGAAUCCAGGAGGCGGAGGUGGCGGUGAGCCGAGACUGCCAUUGCACUCCAGCCUGGGUAACAAGAGCAAAACUCCGUCUCAA
ensembl:misc_RNA Metazoa_SRP Metazoan signal recognition particle RNA